AAAAAGACAAACCCUGGUUUCCGUGUCCAACGUUUGACCGUCCAUCUUAUUUGAAAAAAUUAUGAAAAAAAUUAAAAAAACAAGUCACGCAUAAAAUAUUAAUCAUGUUUUAUCAUCUAACAAUAAUGAAAAUAUGAAUUAUAAAAAAAUUUCAUAUAAGACGGACCGUUAAAGUUGGACACGAAAACCCAGGGUUUGCCUUUUU
rnacentral:pre_miRNA from 1 species